CCUACGGGCGGCAGCAGUGAGGAAUAUUGGUCAAUGGCCGGAAGGCUGAACCAGCCAUGCCGCGUGAAGGUCAGUGCCCUAUGGGCGUUAAACUUCUUUUGUGCGGGAGCAAUAAUGGUCACGUGUGGCCAGACGAGAGUACCGUACGAAUAAGCAUCGACUAACUCCGUGCCAGCAGCCGCGGUAAUACGGGGGAUGCAAGCGUUAUCCGGAUUUAUUGGGUUUAAAGGGUGCGUAGGCUGUGAGGUAAGUCAGCGGUGAAAUGCCCCCGCUCAACGGGGUGAAGUGCCAUUGAUACUGCCUGGCUGGAAUGCGGAUGCCGUGGGAGGAAUGUGUGGUGUAGCGGUGAAAUGCAUAGAUAUCACACAGAACACCGAUUGCGAAGGCAUCUCACGAAUCCGCGAUUGACGCUGAUGCACGAAAGCGUGGGUAUCAAACAGGAUUAGAUACCCGAGUAGUC
rnacentral:rRNA from 1 species